GGGGGCUGUCAGAAAGGCUUUCGACGAUUAAAAGUAUAAUGAAUUAUAAACUAUGUUUAAUAAAAAAAAUUUUAAAAUAGAGCAAACAUCUUUUGCAUAACUUUCUUUUCUUAAAAAUUAUUUAUUAAAAUAAAUAUAGACUCUUUAUUUGACUAGAAUACUGUUUAAACUAUAAACAUGAAUUACUAGCUAAAAAUUACUUUUAUAUUAAAAAAUAAAAUAAAUUAAAUAAAAGUUUAUUAAAAUUCUUUUAGUCGGAUGUGGGUUCAAAUCCUACCAGCUCCAAAUUACAAAUCU
rnacentral:tmRNA from 1 species